rnacentral:rRNA from 1 species
UACGAGGGGGGCGAGCGUUGUUCGGAAUUAUUGGGCGUAAAGGGUGCGUAGGCGGUUCCGCAAGUCCUGUGUGAAAUCUUCGGGCUCAACUCGAAGUCUGCACGGGAAACUGCGGGGCUUGAGUGUGGGAGAGGUGAGUGGAAUUCCCGGUGUAGCGGUGAAAUGCGUAGAUAUCGUCAGGAACGCCAAUGGUGAAGACAGGUGACUGGGCUAGUUCUGACACUGAGGCACGAAAGCGUGGGGAGCGAACGGG